rnacentral:rRNA from 1 species
CUGGCGGCGUGCCUAAUACAUGCAAGUCGAACGCACAGCGAAAGGUGCUUGCACCUUUCAAGUGAGUGGCGAACGGGUGAGUAACACGUGGACAACCUGCCUCAAGGCUGGGGAUAACAUUUGGAAACAGAUGCUAAUACCGAAUAAAACUUAGUGUCGCAUGACACAAAGUUAAAAGGCGCUUCGGCGUCACCUAGAGAUGGAUCCGCGGUGCAUUAGUUAGUUGGUGGGGUAAAGGCCUACCAAGACAAUGAUGCAUAGCCGAGUUGAGAGACUGAUCGGCCACAUUGGGACUGAGACACGGCCCAAACUCCUACGGGAGGCUGCAGUAGGGAAUCUUCCACAAUGGGCGAAAGCCUGAUGGAGCAACGCCGCGUGUGUGAUGAAGGCUUUCGGGUCGUAAAGCACUGUUGUAUGGGAAGAACAGCUAGAAUAGGAAAUGAUUUUAGUUUGACGGUACCAUACCAGAAAGGGACGGCUAAAUACGUGCCAGCAGCCGCGGUAAUACGUAUGUCCCGAGCGUUAUCCGGAUUUAUUGGGCGUAAAGCGAGCGCAGACGGUUUAUUAAGUCUGAUGUGAAAGCCCGGAGCUCAACUCCGGAAUGGCAUUGGAAACUGGUUAACUUGAGUGCAGUAGAGGUAAGUGGAACUCCAUGUGUAGCGGUGGAAUGCGUAGAUAUAUGGAAGAACACCAGUGGCGAAGGCGGCUUACUGGACUGCAACUGACGUUGAGGCUCGAAAGUGUGGGUAGCAAACAGGAUUAGAUACCCUGGUAGUCCACACCGUAAACGAUGAACACUAGGUGUUAGGAGGUUUCCGCCUCUUAGUGCCGAAGCUAACGCAUUAAGUGUUCCGCCUGGGGAGUACGACCGCAAGGUUGAAACUCAAAGGAAUUGACGGGGACCCGCACAAGCGGUGGAGCAUGUGGUUUAAUUCGAAGCAACGCGAAGAACCUUACCAGGUCUUGACAUCCUUUGAAGCUUUUAGAGAUAGAAGUGUUCUCUUCGGAGACAAAGUGACAGGUGGUGCAUGGUCGUCGUCAGCUCGUGUCGUGAGAUGUUGGGUUAAGUCCCGCAACGAGCGCAACCCUUAUUGUUAGUUGCCAGCAUUCAGAUGGGCACUCUAGCGAGACUGCCGGUGACAAACCGGAGGAAGGCGGGGACGACGUCAGAUCAUCAUGCCCCUUAUGACCUGGGCUACACACGUGCUACAAUGGCGUAUACAACGAGUUGCCAACCCGCGAGGGUGAGCUAAUCUCUUAAAGUACGUCUCAGUUCGGAUUGUAGUCUGCAACUCGACUACAUGAAGUCGGAAUCGCUAGUAAUCGCGGAUCAGCACGCCGCGGUGAAUACGUUCCCGGGUCUUGUACACACCGCCCGUCACACCAUGGGAGUUUGUAAUGCCCAAAGCCGGUGGCCUAACCUUUUAGGAAGGAGCCGUCUAAGGCAGGACAGAUGACUGGGGUGA